AGUGAACGCUGGCGGUAGGCCUAACACAUGCAAGUCGAACGGCAGCACAGUAAGAGCUUGCUCUUACGGGUGGCGAGUGGCGGACGGGUGAGGAAUACAUCGGAAUCUACUUUUUCGUGGGGGAUAACGUAGGGAAACUUACGCUAAUACCGCAUACGACCUACGGGUGAAAGCAGGGGAUCUUCGGACCUUGCGCGAUUGAAUGAGCCGAUGUCGGAUUAGCUAGUUGGCGGGGUAAAGGCCCACCAAGGCGACGAUCCGUAGCUGGUCUGAGAGGAUGAUCAGCCACACUGGAACUGAGACACGGUCCAGACUCCUACGGGAGGCAGCAGUGGGGAAUAUUGGGCAAUGGGCGCAAGCCUGAUCCAGCCAUACCGCGUGGGUGAAGAAGGCCUUCGGGUUGUAAAGCCCUUUUGUUGGGAAAGAAAAGAAGCAGGUUAAUACGCCGCUGUUCUGACGGUACCCAAAGAAUAAGCACCGGCUAACUUCGUG
rnacentral:rRNA from 1 species